UGAGGAAUAUUGGUCAAUGGGCGGAAGCCUGAACCAGCCAUGCCGCGUGCGGGAUGAAGGCCCUACGGGUUGUAAACCGCUUUUCCCCGGGAAGAAUAACCCCGAUGAGUCGGGGGAUGCCGGUACCGGGGGAAUAAGGAUCGGCUAACUCCGUGCCAGCAGCCGCGGUAAUACGGAGGAUCCGAGCGUUAUCCGGAUUUACUGGGUUUAAAGGGUGCGUAGGCGGCCCUGCAAGUCAGCGGUGAAAUGUGGCGGCUCAACCGUUUCGCUGCCGCUGAUACUGUAGGGCUUGGAUGCGGUCGAGGCGGGUGGAAUUCGUGGUGUAGCGGUGAAAUGCAUAGAUAUCACGAGGAGCGCCGAUAGCGAAGGCAGCUCGCCGGGCCGCGAUCGACGCUGAGGCACGAAAGCGUGGGGAUCAAACAG
rnacentral:rRNA from 1 species